UUUAGAUAUGGAGAGAAAGACCUCAUAUUUGUAUGGCUAGUGAAGAUCUUCUCUCAAUCUGUGGGCUUUCUAUUUAUCUUGCUAGCUAUGCCCUUUGCCAUGCAGAAGCUCUUCAUUUUAAUGCAAUCUCAUCUAUCCAGGCUUUCUUUGAUUUGUUGUGUUUCUGGAUCUUUAUUUAGGAAGUUUCAACCUGAGCCAAGGAGCCCUACUAUAUCCCCCAGCCCUUCCUAUAGUAUUUUCAGUGUAUCUGUCCCUCAAGGUCUUUGAUCCAUUUGUAGUUGAUUCUGAAGCAGGAUAAUAUAAAAGGAUCUAACUUCAGUUUCCUACAGGUGUAUAGCCAAUUCUGCCAACACCAUUUGUUGAAGAGGCUGU